rnacentral:misc_RNA from 1 species
UUUCCGUAGGUGAACCUGCGGAAGGAUCAUUGUCGAAACCUGCCCAGCAGAACGACCCGCGAACUUGUAUAAACAACCGGGGGCGGGGGGCGUUCUCGCCCCGUGCCCCCGAACGGCGGGGAGACACUCGUGCCUUCUUGCCGAACAACGAACCCAGGCGCGGUCUGCGCCAAGGAACUUCAACUAAAGAGUGCCUCCGGUCGCCUCGGAAACGGCGUGCGUGCCGGGGGCGAAUCUUGUGCAAAACCAUAACGACUCUCGGCAACGGAUAUCUCGGCUCUC